GGUGAGAUGGCUGAAUUAUAGGCGAUAGAUUGUAAAUCUAUUUAUGGUUUUAUAAACCUCUUACCA
rnacentral:tRNA from 1 species